rnacentral:rRNA from 1 species
UCGCCUGAAGAGGGGUUUGCGUCUGAUUAGCUGGUUGGAGGGGUAACGGCCCACCAAGGCGACGAUCAGUAGCCGGUCUGAGAGGAUGAACGGCCACACUGGAACUGAGACACGGACCAAACUCCUACGGGAGGCAGCAGUGAGGAAUAUUGGUCAAUGGACGCAAGUCUGAACCAGCCAUGCCGCGUGCAGGAAGACGGCUCUAUGAGUUGUAAACUGCUUUUGUACGAGGGUAAACGCUCUUACGUGUAAGAGCCUGAAAGUAUCGUACGAAUAAGGAUCGGCUAACUCCGUGCCAGCAGCCGCGGUAAUACGGAGGAUCCAAGCGUUAUCCGGAUUUAUUGGGUUUAAAGGGUGCGUAGGCGGUUUGAUAAGUUAGAGGUGAAAUACCGGGGCUCAACUCCGGAACUGCCUCUAAUACUGUUGAACUAGAGAGUAGUUGCGGUAGGCGGAAUGUAUGGUGUAGCGGUGAAAUGCUUAGAUAUCACGAAGAACUCCGAUUGCGAAGGCAGCUUACUGGAUUGUAACUGACGCUGAGGCUCGAAAGUGUGGGUAUCAAACAGGAUUAGAUACCCUGGUAGUCCACACAGUAAACGAUGAAUACUCGCUGUUUGCGAUAUACAGUAAGCGGCCAAGCGAAAGCAUUAAGUAUUCCACCUGGGGAGUACGCCGGCAACGGUGAAACUCAAAGGAAUUGACGGGGGCCCGCACAAGCGGAGGAACAUGUGGUUUAAUUCGAUGAUACGCGAGGAACCUUACCCGGGCUUAAAUUGCAACAGAAUAUAUUGGAAACAGUAUAGCCGUAAGGCUGUUGUGAAGGUGCUGCAUGGUUGUCGUCAGCUCGUGCCGUGAGGUGUCGGCUUAAGUGCCAUAACGAGCGCAACCCUUAUCUUUAGUUACUAACAGGUCAUGCUGAGGACUCUAGAGAGACUGCCGUCGUAAGAUGUGAGGAAGGUGGGGAUGACGUCAAAUCAGCACGGCCCUUACGUCCGGGGCUACACACGUGCUACAAUGGCGUAAACAAAGUGAAGCGAGAGUGUGAGCUUAAGCAAAUCACAAAAAUAACGUCUCAGUUCGGAUUGUAGUCUGCAACUCGACUACAUGAAGCUGGAAUCGCUAGUAAUCGCGAAUCAGAAUGUCGCGGUGAAAACGUUCCCGGGUCUUGUACACACCGCCCGUC